AAACCCUGCAGCUGGGUGACCCAUUCCAGCCUGCAAGCUGAUCAUAAGGGACACUGCCGUGCAUGCGGCACAACCCCAGGCCCGGUACCAGCAGCAGAGCACGGCAGGGUGUGUGCUGUUUGGCCUCAGCCAUUCUGUCAGGGAACUGAAAGCACCUGGACUUUGGUCUCAGGUUUUGCAACAGUCACACUCCUGCAAUGCACAGCAUGACUAGAUUCCCUACAUAAUUACAGCGACACUUCUCAGCCAAGAAACAGGCCUACAAAGAUCUGAAUUAACAAAUGAAGCAGGCGCACUCUGUCUCCCGAGACUCCCAUCAACCUCCACUAUGCCAGACCACAGCAAACCUGUCCCACUGAACUCAAUCCUAUACAUUUUCUCCUGGUGGUACAAAGCCUAGAAUGCACGGUCUGGAACCAACCCACAGCACACUUCCUUUUGCAUUUUGCUUUCAAAUAAAACAUCUAUAAACAGCCAGGCAGUUUGGUAAGAAACAGUAAACCUGAAGACUGCUGCUUGAAACAAACCUUUUCAGCUAUCUCACAAAAUCUUUCUAAGUGUGACAACCAAGCUCCCAAGAAAAUUCACCUGGCAACAGCUGCACUGAAACAAAGUUACUGCAGCAACAAAUAACGUCAGAGUGUUAAUAAUUGACAGAAGAAGAAUGAAAAGGCUUCAAGAAAAUGAUACUUCUGCACUCAAAGAAACAUUAUUCAAUACCAAAGGUCUGCUGAGGCUUCAAGGAGGAAGAACUGCCAUGUGUUGAUAUGCCCCCCUCUUCAUAUUGACUCUAAGUGGAGCCUUGAGGGUAGACCUAAACGUGGGAGUGAAUCGUCCUUUCCCAGAGAAGGAACUGUUACCUGCUUAUUCCUGUUCCUUUUGUUGGAGCCACAGGAUCAGUACUGCAGCUGUAAGCAAAUACAUUUCAUAUUUAAAGGAAGCAAGUGCUGCUGGGCAUUAGUGGAAUCUGUCCAAGCCUUGGUCAAGAUACCUCAGCACGACUUAACAAAGUUUUCAGAAGAAUUCAUAGUAUGUUACCCAUUUUCUGACUGGGCAAGACAAAUCCCCUGUGUCUAAUCUGCAGAAGUACUGUACACUUACAGCUGCAACUGAAGUCUAUGAGGGACAGAACAUAAAUACUAUAUAAUGUCCACACAUAAGGCCUGAUAUGAAAUUACUGAAGGCUAGAUCUACACUUAAAACAAUUAAGAAGCAAAUUAAAAUGUAAGUGGCUAUCCACAGAUAUCAAAAGUGAGAAAGUUUACUUCCAGUAUUUUCUGCCUGUCAUCCAGGAUUGAAAAGAAGCAGAUUUUGAUCUGUGAAACAGUCCAUCAAUGAAGGGAGAGACUGCAUGAACAGGAUGGCCCACACCACACAAGUAGGAGGCUAAUCUUCUCAGUUGGAAACUAGUUGGAGGAGCCAGGAUAUUAAGUCAGCAACACAAGGGGAGUUUAUUUGGAAGGCAAAUGAGGUACAUGCUCAAAUUCAGCACCUAACAAGAAAGUUGAACCAAUGUGGCUAAGAAUAUAAUGAAUCCCUUCAUUAAUGUUUAUGUAUUGAUCCUAGAAAUCUAGAUAAGAAGGAAGAGGAAAUUCUCAUUGACGGGAAUAAAUUUAUGUAACCAGCAUUACUAAAAUCAACUGGUGAACAACUAGAGAAGUAGUAAAAAAAAUAAGAUGCCUUAAAAAACAAAACCCAUACCAUUCUUCUUUUUAAAAUGAUUGGUAAUACAGAACCACAGCUCUUGAAUACAUACAGGUCAAUAUGCUAAUUAACACAAAUAGAGACUUGCUGGCUAGCUAAUCUAAUUAGAGAACGGGACACGCUUUUCUUCAACACAUAUCUACAGUAUUUGGAAAGAAAACUAAUGACACUCUAGGGGACUUUGGUUUAGGAGACAUAUGCUGAAAGUAUUUGGUGGUCAACGAUAGCAUAAUGUUAUACACUUUCAAAAUUCAUAUAUUAUUUAUCAGCAUGAUGCAAUCUGUAUCUCAUUAUAACACAAGAGAUGUUAAUCACUGUACUGGAGAUUUACAUAGGUUGCUCCAAAAGUAAUGCCUCUAAUUUAUUUCCAUGGAAUCUACAACAGCUACAAAGAGCAAAAUAACACUAUUGGAUAGAGCGAAUUCUCAGCUACAGAACAUGAUUUUUCAGCAUAGCCACCAUCAUUAGCCUGCAUGCAACACUUCUAAAUAUCUCACCAGUGGAGGUGAGCACUAUCGCUGUAGCUACUGCUGAAAUGCACCACCCACUGCCUCACUGUGCUCACAUUCACUGGCUGGUCUCCAUCAAUAUUCAGCAAGCAUUGAUGAAUGUCAGUGGGUACCAUUUUUUCCAUGUGGAGGAAUUCAAUUCCACACCUUUGCUUCACCCGCACUCCCAUAUGACAGACACCAUUUUAUCAGACUGCCCCUCUGCUGCCAUCUUUCACACAGCAACAACAUGGAAUGAAAUACUGGUUGGAAGGUUCAACUUCUACUGCCAUACCACCGACAUCUGCCUCUGAUGUUGUGAGCCAGCAUCAUAAAAUAGGAGGCAUACGUAGCUACAUACAUUUUAACACAGAAUUAAUAAGCACUUUUCACUUCCCUAGCUAUCUAAGAAGGAAAGCUUUUACAGAUUAUGACAGUUUUCAACUCA